rnacentral:rRNA from 1 species
GAUGAACGCUGGCGGCGUGCUUAACACAUGCAAGUCGAACGGGAAACCUUUUAAUGCAGCUUCGGCAGAUUUAGCUGGUUUCUAGUGGCGGACGGGUGAGUAACGCGUGGGUAACCUGCCUUAUACAGGGGGAUAACAGUCAGAAAUGACUGCUAAUACCGCAUAAGCGCACAGGACCGCUUGGUCCGGUGUGAAAAACUCCGGUGGUAUAAGAUGGACCCGCGUUGGAUUAGCUUGUUGGUGGGGUAACGGCUCACCAAGGCGACGAUCCAUAGCCGGCCAGAGAGGGUGAACGGACACAAUGGGACUGAGAAAAGGCCCAGACUCCUACGGGAGGCAGCAGAGGGGAAUAUAGCACAAUGGGGGAAACCCUGAUGCAGCGACGGCGCGUGAAGGAAGAAGUAUGUCGGUAUGUAAACUUCUAGCAGCAGGGAAGAUAGUGACGGUACCUGACUAAGAAGCCCCGGCUAACUACGUG